rnacentral:rRNA from 1 species
AGUGAACGCUGGCGGUAGGCCUAACACAUGCAAGUCGAACGGCAGCACAGUAAGAGCUUGCUCUUACGGGUGGCGAGUGGCGGACGGGUGAGGAAUACAUCGGAAUCUACUUUUUCGUGGGGGAUAACGUAGGGAAACUUACGCUAAUACCGCAUACGACCUACGGGUGAAAGCAUGGUAUCUUCGGACCUUGCGCGAUUGAAUGAGCCGAUGUCGGAUUAGCUAGUUGGCGGGGUAAAGGCCCACCAAGGCGACGAUCCGUAGCUGGUCUGAGAGGAUGAUCAGCCACACUGGAACUGAGACACGGUCCAGACUCCUACGGGAGGCAGCAGUGGGGAAUAUUGGACAAUGGGCGCAAGCCUGAUCCAGCCAUACCGCGUGGGUGAAGAAGGCCUUCGGGUUGUAAAGCCCUUUUGUUGGGAAAGAAAAGCAGCAGGUUAAUACCCCGCUGUUCUGACGGUACCCAAAGAAUAAGCACCGGCUAACUUCGUG